rnacentral:rRNA from 1 species
GAUGAACGCUGGCGGCGUGCCUAAUACAUGCAAGUCGAGCGAACAGACGAGGAGCUUGCUCCUCUGACGUUAGCGGCGGACGGGUGAGUAACACGUGGAUAACCUACCUAUAAGACUGGGAUAACUUCGGGAAACCGGAGCUAAUACCGGAUAAUAUAUUGAACCGCAUGGUUCAAUAGUGAAAGACGGUUUUGCUGUCACUUAUAGAUGGAUCCGCGCCGCAUUAGCUAGUUGGUAAGGUAACGGCUUACCAAGGCGACGAUGCGUAGCCGACCUGAGAGGGUGAUCGGCCACACUGAACUGAGACACGGUCCAGACUCCUACGGGAGGCAGCAGUAGGGAAUCUUCCGCAAUGGGCGAAAGCCUGACGGAGCAACGCCGCGUGAGUGAUGAAGGUCUUCGGAUCGUAAAACUCUGUUAUUAGGGAAGAACAAAUGUGUAAGUAACUAUGCACGUCUUGACGGUACCUAAUCAGAAAGCCACGGCUAACUACGUG